rnacentral:tRNA from 1 species
UUAUUUUGGCAGAAUAGUGCAUUUGAUUUAGAAUCAUAUUAAGUAAUCUUUACAGGUAAUAU